GAAGCGAGCCGAGGUUCCGGGUCACCUCGCUAAACCGCUCGGAAAAACAACAACUGCUGACUCUAACGAGUACGCACUCGCUGCCUAACUAGCAGCGACGCCGGCCUUGGGCUCUGCCUGCGGCCUGGGGGCCCGGCGUCAUGAAGCAGGCUUACCGCUUGGGGCGCGCUCGGCGCGCCAAACGGGACAUCUCUCCGAGCUAGGCGCCGGCCGCUGCUGUUCGCGGGCCGGCAGGCGCUGAAAUCCCAACCGCGAGCUACGCUCGUAGAAGGCCUGCCCAGAGAUCGGAGGACCCGGGUUCGAUUCCCGGCAGCUCCACUU
rnacentral:tmRNA from 1 species